rnacentral:tRNA from 1 species
GCGUUCGUGAGGUCAGCGGUAGCCUGCCUGGUUCCCAACCAGGACGCGCGGGUUCAAAUCCCGCCGAACGCUC